CUUUCGGAAGGGAAAGGCGCUCUAGGGCUGCUGCAGUAGUCGGGGCGGAACGGACGUGCUCAGCCCGUCUCGACACAGUUAACUAAAGCCCCGGAUGCUUCCAGACUGUUAGAGGCUCACACGGCUCCCCAAACGCACAUUCAAGUGCAAAACCAGGCUUUGUACGUUCUGUGACGCAGAGUUGUGUGCUAGGCUAAGUGCAGGGCCAGGACUGCCUUCUGGAGCGACCUAUUAUUUAGUGAGGUCCACGACGCUCGUGCAGACUCGCCCUCGGCCUAGACUUGAGCCUGAGGUAUUUUGUUUUCCCCUAAGUGUCAAAUCUCCGCUUAUCUUGGGAAAUCUGGGACACGAAACCGGGUUGGGUUGCGGGCUGGUAUCGAAGCUUUAAGGAGCAGACAUGGAUCUCUUGAGUUAAAGGCCAGCCAGGUCUACAGAACGAGUUCCAGGACAGCCAUGGCCACACAGAAAACCUGUCUCAAAAAACAGAGUUCCAGCUGGCCUAAUAGACACAUAGAGACCAUGUCUCAAAAAAGGUGUGCGGACCCCUUCCCCCAUAUUUUAUGUGUAUUUCUUCCAGGCCACGCCUGACUUGGAUCCUUUAUUUCCUUACAAUAAUUUGGGUGUUUUUCUCAGUUCACACCCUCCCCUCCACCCCCACGGCUUUGCUGAGAUCUUCAUUCAACACAAGAAAAUACCAGCAAUGUGUAGAAAUACUGUGCUUUAAUGAACUCCUUAAAUAGAAACGCUGCUAUGAAAAUAUACAGUGGGAGGAGACGGUUUCUCCCUUAUUCACCUCGUUCCCACAGAAGACUAAGAAAAGAUUUCAAAGUAGUGUAGAGAGGUUGCGAAUGAGGUCUCUAGGACAUCAUUGUUGGAACUGAUGAAAAGGGUCUCUCAUGUCACAGUUUUGACGGCCAUCCAAAAGGUACAGAAUUGCCUGGGAAAAGGGGCAAUCACAUUCUGAACUGGUCUUGUUUCUUAGUUUUCAAAUCACAAGAAAUGAAAAUAGCCCCAGAAAUCAAACAAAUCGGGAGACCUUUAGGUUGGUAGCGCCACCAUCUGCUACAGAAACGGGCCUUCUAAGUGAGCUCUGCAGACUGGAAUGCCAAAGCUGAGGCGCCAAGGUCAGACAGGAAGAUGAGCAGAGACCCCUGCCCUGCCUCUGAGAACGACGCUAACAAACAGUUUCAGACGCUAACAAACAGUUUCAGCGGAUCUGAGAGAGGAUGGUAUUCGGAUCUCUUUUCUUGCUCUGGUCCUCGGGAGAUAUUCUUGGUGUCCAUUGUCUUAACAGUUCCUGAAGUGCUACUACAGGAUGCUGGGGGGGAAGAGACAGAAGAAUCCCUAGGAGCUCCUGGUCCAGCCAGCCUGGAGUAAGCAGCAGACAAGCAACAGGGACUCUGUCUCAGUAGGUGGAAGGUGAGUACUGAUGCCUGAGGUUGACCUCUGACCUCCACAGGACUAUGACAUAUACACGGUCACACGCAUAAAUGUGCACAAACUCAAAAAUUUUAAACAAGGUUGGUUAAACCAGUUUGUGUCCCUGUCCUACACCUGGAACAAAUUAUAAACCUUACCUCCUAUUUCUGGCAUCACAUACAAAACAAAAAUCUGAUCCUAAGAGUGAGCACCCCCCCCCAACCCCUUCCCCAAACCUCAAGCUUCCUAAACCAAGACCAAAUUCCAAAGUUUGAAAUGCUCAACAGGAACAAAUUAAAAAGAGGUCACUGACCUGUCCACUCUUCUUCCCGCGCUCCCAGGGAGUGUUUCUCAGAAAGGUGAGAGUGUCCGGAACCCUGAUACUAUCAUGAAGAGCAAGAAGAAAAAACUCAGAGAAUUCAAAUUCCGCUGGAAACUGCUGGAGGAGCUGCCAGGCACAGUCAAGGAAGAGAGGAAACACCGGGGCCUGAGAAGAGAAAACAGUCGCAUGGGGGUGUCUGCAAGCACCUGACAAAGGGGAGAACAAGAGCCCAGAACAGGACACCAAGGAGGGCAGGGAUUAAAACAGGAAGUGAGAGUAGAGUAGGGGUUCAAGGCUGACUCUCCUGAGUGUCCACUCAGCCCAGCAGCCCAUUCAGACCGGGUUUGUGUCUAGUGGGCUAGGCCUUAUCAUUUUCUCACCUCUUCCCUUUAGUAAUGUUAACCCACUCCAGACAGAAAACCUAAAGUGUCCUCACCUCCUCACUGGCUCCAGUGUCCCCGAGCCUGGUCAGGAAGGGGUGUCCAGCUGCCACCCACUCUCGCUGCACUAGUGACUGGAAACCAAACAAUGUCCGGGCUUCCGGAGCCAAAAGCAGCUGGACGAGUGAGGAGAGGAGGCCAUUGAAAUCACGAUCCCCAAGCUCUGGGUGACAAAGAAACAAAGAAGGGGGUCCAAGAAACUAGGACAGGAGGGAAUGAGAAGAGGAAACACGGGGAAAGGGGGAGGGGCACAUAAAAGAAAGUGGGGAAAGGCAGGAGUGAGAGGGCACAGAAAAGUGGCGAGAAAACUCAAAUGAGUCAACUUCUAGAAACAGCCAUUGUCACAGAGAAAGCAGAGCCACACUUCCCAACCAGUGUUCCCAGUGCCCUUCUCACCCUGCCCCUUCCCCAUCUACUGAGGAAGGAGCAAGAAGGUCUAAAACCAGCUUGGAAUUAGGGACAGCUCUCACAGUAGGGGACUGAGUAGCUCUGAAGGAUGAAUUGGCACUCACAGGAAGAUGCUAGUACUAAAGGGGCACAAGGAAGCUCCCUUCCACACCAUCCAAUCACAGGAAGGACAGAGGUAAGGAAUGGAAGGAGCUGGCUCAAGGAACUCACCUUGGAGCACUACAGAACGGACCCGAGAUGUCACUAAUACUGAGAUGUCGCUGGCCUUUCGAAGACAAGACCUGGAAGGGCGUGUGAUGAAGAAGGGAGUAAUGUAUUGGAAGAGAAGCAGAUUCCCAAAUGCCUGCUCCUCCUCCUGAACAACAGUAACAGUCUUGGAAAACAGGCGGAUUGAUGGAAGGCCAUUGGAAAGCCUAAGUCAAGAGAAGGCUGGAGAAGUAGGAAUUAUUAACCAUGAUUAGAAGGCUAGGCAUACCUGACAUAGUCUAACCACCGUGUUCCUUCCAAGGCUGAGAGCCAUUUAUCUUCAGCUACAGAUGAGUCUAGCACAGAGGGAACAAGAAAGACAAGAUCAGAACCCAGGGUCCAGGUCUGUACCCAGAUGUGUAGUAACAAUUUUGGAAUUUUGGUUCCUUUAAAAACACAAAUAUAAAGCUGUCUUUUCAUUUUAAUCCCAGGUGUGGGGUGGGGGCUGCUUCAGAUUGUCCACAGCAGCUGACUAUGAUUUGCCUCAUGCUCGAGCAGAGGCAUAGUUUUGCCAGCUGCAGAUAGUUUCUGCGAUUGUGUGACAUUUGAAAUUCUGGGGACUUUUCAGAGGGUAUAUAAAUGCUAGAGCCCCUAGAGGUUGGUCUUUCAGGGAGGUUGGUUGAAGUUUUUUAGUAGUUGUGCUC
ensembl:antisense Gm17690 predicted gene, 17690